GGUCCUACCGAGAUCAUAUUGAUCAUGCCCGCUGUCGGUUGGGCAUGAGUUUCUUCCUCGAGAUACGGCGGUGGUUGAGGAUUAGCAGACAGCUGCACAUGUCGGUCCCGCAGGUAUUUUUUGAAAUAUCCCCAUCGAAUCAAAGCUUCUAUCUCAUCUUUCAACUGGAUGCACUGCUCGAUAUUGUGAUCGUAGUCACGAUAGAACCGACAAUAGCGCUUCCUAUUGUGAGAUGUCGGCCGCGACUUCAUUGGCUGGGGUUGUCGGAGGUAACUCUAUCCUUCUAUCUCCAUAAGAAUCUGCGCACGAAGAGCAGUAAGAAGGGUGUAAGAAUCUUACUUGCUGUCGAAGUCCUUUGAGGGAGGUGGAGCCUCUCUCUCAGCACAAGUCCGGCUAGGCCCCGUGGAGGUUCCUCCCUUCUUCAUUCUCUUCUGAUCUUUGCCCUCGGACUGGCACCGAUCAGUUGCAUCCUCCUCGAUGCAAAUGUAUUUUUGUGUGCGCCUAGGGAGUUUGGCAUAGGAUCGGAGAAGCGUUUUGUCUAUGGAAUAGAUGAAUUUAGAGCUUCGCAACCCCAUUCAUGGCUGCAAUGGCCGUCGAUUCAUCGAGAUCCUCGACUUCUAAGGUGAC
rnacentral:lncRNA from 1 species